rnacentral:ncRNA from 18 species
ACUUGUAUAAGUCAACAUAUUGGGUUGGUGUUUCUACCUUUUGACCUAUCAGAAGUCUAUAAGU